GGGCGCUGGCCAGGGUACGCUUUCGAGCGCCCGCGCCCACCCUCCAGCCUGUCAGAAGUAACUUGCGGGUCACGUUCUUGGACAUAAGCAUUCGAAGGUUGCUUUUGGUGAAAAAUCAACUGUCCAUCACUCUUUUUUAAAGUGCUUCCCAGGACCGUCCGCUUUGCCGCCCCAUUCGAAGUUGUAGGGACCAGGCCCGGGACAGAGAACCAAGCCAGAGGGUGAAGUGGCAGGUGUCCCCAGCAAUUCCUUCAUGUUUUGGAUGCGGUUUGGGGUGGAGAGAACGGGGCUUUGCUUAUACAUAAGAUGGAGUAAACAGGGCAGCUGUUUUUUGUUGUUGUGUUUCUGUGUUGCUUCCUUCCACUGAAAACUUUUGUCUGGGGGCAGUGGGAAAGAGAUUUAGGACCAAAGUAAAUCUUAAACGAAUGUAAAUCUUCCUUACAGGAACGGUGACACAAUGCAAGUACAUCUUGAUCUAAUUUUAAUGAAGGAUUGAAAAUAGCUGCUGUGUUCAGUAUCACUGACGCCAAAACGGCUCACUUACAUAAUCUUCUUUGUUGGGAUGUGUCAGUGGCAUGUAUAAUUUUGAUAAAUUAUUAAUGUUAAAGGUUUGGUCGGGCAAUGGUAUUGAAACAAUGUUUUCACAAGUUUUGCAAUACAGUGGAGUGUGAACUUUUGGUUAUCUUGAUAACCUGCGUAUUUUCCAUGCAAAGUGAAAUCAAACCUUGUCCCCAACCAAAAUUCUCUCAACUGUGAAAUAUAGAUUUGUCAGUACUGAAGACAGGAGAAGUUAUUUUCUCAAUGAUAAAGCAGUGCCUUCUAGAUGUCAGGCGCUCCAUUGGGCAUUUUUUUUCUGCUCAUGGAGCUUAUAACAACAAAAAAAUGACUUUUUAAAAAAUAUAAAUGCAUAAGUAUAGAUACUCAACAAAUAUUUGCUGAAUAAUAUACCGGGCAUUCAAAUAAAAAUAAAAAUUCUUCUUGCCCAUCCUUAAAGAAAAUUAUUAUCCUGCUUUAGAGGAAAGAAAGAAAAUAUCAAAGAAAGAUUUGGCAGAAAAACUGAGCUUAAUUUCAGUAUCUAGCCUGAAAGUUUGUAGCUUAAAAUAGGGAUACAGAUUUGGAAAAGAGACAAAGAACACAGAUAGAGUUUCUAGGAGAAAGAUAGCAAUAUUGAUUUAACAUAAUACAUUUUAUGACCUAGCUUUCUUUGAAGAACACAAACUUUGAAAAGGACUGUUUCUUAAAAAAUCAGUAGUUGCUUGCAUUGUGAAAGAAUGUCUAAUUAAAUGGCCUAGUCGUAUCCUUAAUAUUUCACUGUCUGUGCAACUCAUUUUUUAAAUAGUAUGGGAUAAACCUUUCAGUGCAGUUCAGUUGCAUGGAAAAAAGUGUACCUUUCGAAAUCGCCUGAAUUUGCAGUGAGAAAAUCAUCUCCGAUCUUACAUCAGGUAGAAAGUAAGCACUGGCAAUAGCAUCUUGCCAAGAAAAUCUUCAUUCCAGACAAGUGCUGUGUGUGGGGAGAGGUCCUGUGUAAACUGCCUCAUGUGUGAGAUACUCUGUUUUUCCUGAAAGGCCCGUGUAAUAGUUUAUUUGGUGACAUCAGAAAACUAAGUCCCCAACAUUUGUGAGCCUGGAAGCUUCUGGAAAGCCUAGUGUCCUUAUUUAAAAGUGACAACUCAACUCAGAACCUAGCAUUGCUAUGUGAACAACAAGCUGUCUUUGUAGAAUGUGUGUUCUUCUCAGAGCCGAUUUGCUGGUUGAGCAGCCCUGCAGAAGGUCAGGGCCCUGUAUCCAAAUCUUCUGUAGUUCUUGCAAAACUUCAGACUCCAGGCACUUUCCAACCCUUGAAGAAUCAGAAUGUCUGUGAGCAGAACCUGGAAUCUACUCUUAACUGGAACCUCCCAGAAUGAGAGUUUAUCACACCAAGUUUUGAGAAUUCAAGUUUUCUUGCCAAAGUUUAAGGGGCAGCUGUUGCUUUCCUCCCCACAUGCUUACUGCUCUGCUCACUUCCCGUUCAUCUCUUAGUGGGGCCCUGUGGGCAUGGGGGGUGGCAACUGAGACCCCCCACCCCAACCCUGUCGGCUGCUGUACAGGCAAACCCGGAACCCACCUACUAGUAGAGUUAGGAUUGCCUUGGGGCACAAGGCCUGAGACCCCUCCCGCUAUGGGAUCCGUCCCCUCCCAGCCUGUGUGAUCUGUGGAGGCCCAGUCCUAGCGGCCUCCUCUUCAACUGUCCAGAUAAGGUUUCAACCAGAUAAUUGGGAAAGGACCCCAAGGGACAGGAGGCCUGGGAGAGCACAGAGCAAGAAUGCUGAAUGGAAAGCUGUCUGCUGGACACAGUGCAGCACCUACAUUGGAAGAUUUUAGUCCCAAGGCUGGUAAUUUGGUUAACGAAUCCGACUGGGAACCAGGAGGUUGCAGGUUCAAUUCCUGGCCUUGAUCAGUGGGUUAAGGAUCCGGCGUUGCCGUGAGCUGUGGUGUGGGUCGCAGAUGCGGCUUGGAUCCUGAGUUGCUGUAGCUCUGGUGCAGGCCGGUGGCUACAGCUCCGAUUAGACCCCUAGCCUGGGAACCUCCAUAUGCCGCGGGAGCGCCCCUAGAAAAGGC
rnacentral:lncRNA from 1 species